ACAAAAAUACCUGGCGGCUGUAGGGUGCUUGCUCCUUGAUUCAGUCGGCGGACGGGUGAGUAAUGCCUAGGAAUCUGCCUGGUAGUGGGGGACAACGUUUCGAAAGGAACGCUAAUACCGCAUACGUCCUACGGGAGAAAGCAGGGGACCUUCGGGCCUUGCGCUAUCAGAUGAGCCUAGGUCGGAUUAGCUAGUUGGUGAGGUAAUGGCUCACCAAGGCGACGAUCCGUAACUGGUCUGAGAGGAUGAUCAGUCACACUGGAACUGAGACACGGUCCAGACUCCUACGGGAGGCAGCAGUGGGGAAUAUUGGACAAUGGGCGAAAGCCUGAUCCAGCCAUGCCGCGUGUGUGAAGAAGGUCUUCGGAUUGUAAAGCACUUUAAGUUGGGAGGAAGGGCAGUAAGUUAAUACCUUGCUGUUUUGACGUUACCGACAGAAUAAGCACCGGCUAACUCUGUGCCAGCAGCCGCGGUAAUACAGAGGGUGCAAGCGUUAAUCGGAAUUACUGGGCGUAAAGCGCGCGUAGGUGGUUCGUUAAGUUGGAUGUGAAAGCCCCGGGCUCAACCUGGGAACUGCAUCCAAAACUGGCGAGCUAGAGUACGGUAGAGGGUGGUGGAUUUCCUGUGUAGCGGUGAAAUGCGUAGAUAUAGGAGGAACACCAGUGGCGAGGCGACCACUGGACUGAUACUGACACUGAG
rnacentral:rRNA from 1 species